GAAUCACAUGUGUAAUCAGUCCAAUGGAAGGGCGAGACAUCAUGGGCUGGUGACGUCAUCGACCAGGAAGCUUUAAAGCACGUGCGGUGGAGCUUUGUAGCAGGAAGACCCCUCUUGGGGGGUCCAUAGCACACGAGUAGUCGGUCCGCCCUCCUCCACAGGGCAGCUCUGUGGAUGUAUGUGACAAAUUCUCAAACAGGACACAUACAGUUAAGCUUCUGCUGGCCGGGCUCCCUGAAAGGAGGAGGACAGAAAGCCUGAAGUACGAUAGGCUGUGGCGUGAUAGAGGGAACCUUGGGGACAUACCCUAAUCGAGGGUAAAGAAAUGUUUUGGCCAUGUAGGGCGCAAAGUCGAGAUGAGAAGGGGCUACUGAGAGGGCCUGGAGAUCCCCAACUCUCUUUAGAGAGGUAACAGCCAGAAGAAAGGCAGUUUUAAUUGUGAGAUGUCGAUCGGUUUCUCUUCAAUAGGCUCGAAAGGAGCUUUACAGAGAGCCUAUAACACCACAGCCAAAUCCCACGGGGGAACACGAGACCGUACCGGGGGCCUCAGCCUCAGCGCAUCAUGGAGAAAAUGUGUAACUAGGGGGUGGAUUGGGUCAACCCUGGGGAGAAUCGGGCCUGCAGGAACUCCAGAACUGUACCAAUCGGGCAAUUAUCUGAAAAGUUUCCACUUCAGGGCGUACAGUUUCCUCAUAGAGGGAGCUCUGGAUUGGAGGAUGGUCUCAACAACCUCGGUUGAGAGACCAGAAGCUAUGAGCUGUGCCGCCUCAGGGGCUACACCCACUGUUUCCACAACUCCAGGCGGGGAUUAAUUAUCGUACCCCCUGCUUAUGAGAAGAGAUCCCUCCUGAUGGGAAUCUCCCAUGGAGAGCCGUCGAGGAAUGAGAUCAGGUCCGAGAACCAUACUCGGCCCAGCCAGAACGGGGAUACCAGAAGUAGAUGGACCCUGUCUUGGCGUACUCUCUCCAGAACUCUUGGGAGCAGAGCAAUCGAGGUAAAAGCAUACAGACGAAGCCUCGGGCAAGUCUGCACCAUAGCAACCAGUCCCAGAGGAGCUGGGUGAGUCAGAGAGAACCAGAGGGGACAUUUUGAUGUCGACUGCCACCCCAGUAGGGGCAGCCCUCAGAAGUCCUGAGACUUCGGCGUCAGGACUUCUUUGCCGAGGACUUAGCUUGAAGGAUAGCUUUAAGAUCUUGUUUUCACUUUAAGUCCCCGGCCCUUAUGAUGCGAUUAAAAUUUUUCCUUUCUUAUUGGAGUGUUACAAGCUCUUGGUGCAUAAAGAAGAUCUGUAAAGUUGCAAAGACGAAAGUCUCAAAUCCAAAGAGAUAUUCUUUAUGAAAGUUAUGAGUCAACCACACCCCCUACACGCCCCCACAUGUCUACGUCACUAUGUGGGAAGAUUUGCAUAAAGCUGCCCAAAUAUUCACGCAAAGA
ensembl:lncRNA